UACGUAGGGGGCUAGCGUUGUCCGGAUUUAUUGGGCGUAAAGAGCGUGUAGGCGGCCAGGUAGGUCUGCUGUGAAAACUCGAGGCUCAACCUCGAGACGUCGGCGGAAACCAUCUGGCUAGAGUCCGGAAGAGGAGAGUGGAAUUCCUGGUGUAGAGGUGAAAUUCGUAGAUAUUAGGAAGAACACCAGUGGCGAAGGCGGCUUACUGGUCCGGAACUGACGCUGAGGUGCGAAAGCGUGGGGAGCAAACAGG
rnacentral:rRNA from 1 species